UUAGAUACCCUAUUAUUUUAAAUGUAAAUAUUAAAAACUUGAUUAAUAUAAGUUUAUGGUCUUUAAAAUUAAAGAUUUUGGCGGUAUUUUAGUCUAUUCAGAGGAAUCUGUCCUAUAAUUGAUAAUCCACGAUUUAAUUUACUUUUAGAAAAAAUUUAUAUAUCGUCGUAGUUUGAAUAUUUUAAAAGAAUUUUAAUGUUCAAAAUUUUUUUAUAAAAUUAAAUCAGAUCAAGGUGUAGUUUAUAUAAAAGAAGAGAUGGAUUACAUUAAAUUUAUUUAAAGAUUAAUUUUUGUAAAAUUUUAUGAAUAUGGAUUUGAUAGUAAUUUUUUUAAAAUUUUAAAAAUGAUUUAAGCUCUAAAAUAUGUACACAUCGCCCG
rnacentral:rRNA from 1 species